rnacentral:rRNA from 1 species
UACAGAGGGGGCAAGCGUUGUUCGGAAUUACUGGGCGUAAAGGGCGCGUAGGCGGCCUGUUAAGUCGAACGUGAAAUCCCCAGGCUUAACCUGGGAAUUGCAUCCGAUACUGGAUGGCUUGAAUCCGGGAGAGGGAUGCGGAAUUCCAGGUGUAGCGGUGAAAUGCGUAGAUAUCUGGAGGAACACCGGUGGCGAAGGCGGCAUCCUGGACCGGCAUUGACGCUGAGGAGCGAAAGCCAGGGGAGCAAACGGG